GGGUUGUGAGGUUAAGCGACUAAGCGUACACGGUGGAUGCCCUGGCAGUCAGAGGCGAUGAAGGACGUGCUAAUCUGCGAUAAGCGCCGGUAAGGUGAUAUGAACCGUUAUAACCGGCGAUUUCCGAAUGGGGAAACCCAGUGUGACUCGUCACACUAUCAUUAACUGAAUCCAUAGGUUAAUGAGGCGAACCGGGGGAACUGAAACAUCUAAGUACCCCGAGGAAAAGAAAUCAACCGAGAUUCCCCCAGUAGCGGCGAGCGAACGGGGAGGAGCCCAGAGCCUGAAUCAGCAUGUGUGUUAGUGGAAGCGUCUGGAAAGGCGCGCGAUACAGGGUGACAGCCCCGUACACAAAAGCGCAUGUGCUGUGAGCUCGAUGAGUAGGGCGGGACACGUGGUAUCCUGUCUGAAUAUGGGGGGACCAUCCUCCAAGGCUAAAUACUCCUGACUGACCGAUAGUGAACCAGUACCGUGAGGGAAAGGCGAAAAGAACCCCGGCGAGGGGAGUGAAAAAGAACCUGAAACCGUGUACGUACAAGCAGUGGGAGCACAGGUUUACCUGUGUGACUGCGUACCUUUUGUAUAAUGGGUCAGCGACUUAUAUUCUGUAGCAAGGUUAACCGAAUAGGGGAGCCGGAGGGAAACCGAGUCUUAAUUGGGCGUUAAGUUGCAGGGUAUAGACCCGAAACCCGGUGAUCUAGCCAUGGGCAGGUUGAAGGUUGGGUAACACUAACUGGAGGACCGAACCGACUAAUGUUGAAAAAUUAGCGGAUGACCUGUGGCU
rnacentral:rRNA from 3 species